rnacentral:tRNA from 4 species
GGAGGAUUACCCAAGUCCGGCUGAAGGGAACGGUCUUGAAAACCGUUAGGCGUGUAAAAGCGUGCGUGGGUUCGAAUCCCACAUCCUCCU